UACGUAGGGUGCAAGCGUUAAUCGGAAUUACUGGGCGUAAAGCGUGCGCAGGCGGCUUUGCAAGACAGAUGUGAAAUCCCCGGGCCUAACCUGGGAACUGCAUUUGUGACUGCAAGGCUAGAGUACGGUAGAGGGGGAUGGAAUUCCGCGUGUAGCAGUGAAAUGCGUAGAUAUGCGGAGGAACACCGAUGGCGAAGGCAAUCCCCUGGACCUGUACUGACGCUCAUGCACGAAAGCGUGGGGAGCAAACAGG
rnacentral:rRNA from 1 species